rnacentral:lncRNA from 1 species
ACUAACACACACAAUUGUCUAAGAAGAUCAUUAAUGAACACUAAAUAAAAAAAAAAAACAGCAGACAGCACCCCACUUUGUCUUACGCCUCUUUUGAGGUUGAACCAUUUUGAACACUUUCCUUUAAAUUGCACACAGCUUCGCAUGUUCUGGUACAUUUCAUAGAUCAACAGCCUACUUCAGCGUCAUCUUUGUAGUUUGUUUAAUCUUGUAUUGGAAACAUGCUACACACCGAUAAGCUGGAAAGACAGUUGUAUCAUACCUCUAUUCAAAGGUGGAAACAAAUCAAAGUCUGAUCCGAAUUCAUAUCGGGGAAUUUCUCUUCUGUGUAGCAUAUCAAAACUGUUUGAAAAGGCACUAUAUACUCGUUUACCAUCGCUUCAUCACAACUUUCCACACCAAUCACAAGUUGCCUACCAGAAGACAUUAUCUAGCACACAUGCAAGUUUUAACAUGUAAGAAGUCGUACACCAUAACUUAGAGCGUCAUAGCAAUAUUAUCGUCACACUUCUGGACAGCAUGAAAGCAUUUGAUACUCUAUGGCACAAAGGACUCUU